CCAGGUAGCAUCCUUUCUCGACUUCGGACCCGCAUUGAUGNNNNGGGCCUGGACGGCCUGCGGUCAACACGAGGUAUCGAAAGUNANNCCUNUCGAGGGACUUGAUUGGGAGCAACCGGAGGCCGAGACCCCCCCAUGUCCGCUUAAUUUUCCACAUCCGAGAGCGCGAGCAGUUGUCCUGUGGACCGAGACAGCCACGACAAACAGUCAGAGGACAUGUCCGGGACACGGGGACUGCUUUCGAGGUCCACCUUGCAGCCGCAAAGCCACAAGGGGGAAAGGGGCGGGGYCAUCUCACGAAACUUUCCACACGAUGGGAAGGCAAYAYAGGAACCAAGGGUCGUGCCC
rnacentral:misc_RNA from 1 species